rnacentral:rRNA from 1 species
UACGUAGGUGGCAAGCGUUGUCCGGAUUUACUGGGCGUAAAGGGAGCGUAGGCGGAUACUUAAGUGGGAUGUGAAAUACCUGGGCUUAACUUGGGUGCUGCAUUCCAAACUGGGUGUCUAGAGUGUUGGAGAGGAAAGUGGAAUUCCUAGUGUAGCGGUGAAAUGCGUAGAGAUUAGGAAGAACACCAGUGGCGAAGGCGACUUUCUGGACAAUAACUGACGCUGAGGCUCGAAAGCGUGGGGAGCAAACAGGAUUAGAUACCCUGGUAGUCCACGCCGUAAACGAUGGGUACUAGGUGUAGGAUGUAUCGACUCCUCCUGUGCCGCCGUUAACACAAUAAGUACCCCGCCUGGGGAGUACGGUCGCAAGAUUAAA